rnacentral:rRNA from 1 species
CAGUCGCCGCGGUAAAACGAAGGGGGCUAGCGUUGUUCGGAAUUACUGGGCGUAAAGCGCACGUAGGCGGAUACUUAAGUCAGGGGUGAAAUCCCGGGGCUCAACCCCGGAACUGCCUUUGAUACUGGGUAUCUCGAGUCCGGAAGAGGUGAGUGGAAUUCCGAGUGUAGAGGUGAAAUUCGUAGAUAUUCGGAGGAACACCAGUGGCGAAGGCGGCUCACUGGUCCGGUACUGACGCUGAGGUGCGAAAGCGUGGGGAGCAAACAGGAUUAGAGACCCGAGUAGUCCCUGUCUCUUAUAC